rnacentral:rRNA from 1 species
GCCAGACUCCUACGGGAGGCAGCAGUGGGGAAUAUUGCACAAUGGGGGAAACCCUGAUGCAGCAACGCCGCGUGAGUGAAGAAGUCAUUCGUGAUGUAAAGCUCUAUCAGCAGGGAAGAAAAUGACGGUACCUGAGUAAGAAGCCCCGGCUAACUACGUGCCAGCAGCCGCGGUAAUACGUAGGGAGCAAGCGUUAUCCGGAAUUAUUGGGUGUAAAGGGUGCGUAGACGGGACAGCAAGUUAGUUGUGAAAGCCCUCGGCUUAACUGAGGAACUGCAACUAAAACUAUUGUUCUUGAGUGCAGGAGAGGAAAGCGGAAUUCCUAGUGUAGCGGUGAAAUGCGUAGAUAUUAGGAGGAACACCAGUGGCGAAGGCGGCUUUCUGGACUGUAACUGACGUUGAGGCACGAAAGUGUGGGGAGCAAACAGGAUUAGAUACCCCAGUA